AUUGAACGCUGGCGGAAUGCUUUACACAUGCAAGUCGAACGGCAGCACGGACUUCGGUCUGGUGGCGAGUGGCGAACGGGUGAGUAAUGUAUCGGAACGUGCCCAGUCGUGGGGGAUAACGUAGUGAAAAUUACGCUAAUACCGCAUACGAUCUAUGAAUGAAAGCGGGGGAUCGCAAGGCCUCGCGCGAUUGGAGCGGCCGAUAUCAGAUUAGGUAGUUGGUGGGGUAAAGGCCCACCAAGCCAACGAUCUGUAGCUGGUCUGAGAGGACGACCAGCCACACUGGAACUGAGACACGGUCCAGACUCCUACAGGAGGCAGCAGUGGGGAAUUUUGGACAAUGGGCGAAAGCCUGAUCCAGCCAUUCCGCGUGCAGGAUGAAGGCCCUCGGGUUGUAAACUGCUUUUGUACAGAACGAAAAGGUUUCUACUAAUACUAGGAGCUCAUGACGGUACUGUAAGAAUAAGCACCGGCUAACUACGUGCCAGCCGCCGCGGUAA
rnacentral:rRNA from 1 species